AAACCGUUACCAUUACUGAGUU
rnacentral:miRNA from 26 species